UACGUAGGGGUGAGACGUUGUCCGGAAUUACUGGGCGUAAAGAGCUCGUAGGUGGUUUGUCGCGUUGUCCGUGAAAACUCACAACUCAAUUGUGGGCGUGCGGGCGAUACGGGCAGACUGGAGUACUGCAGGGGAGACUGGAAUUCCUGGUGUAGCGGUGGAAUGCGCAGAUAUCAGGAAGAACACCUAUGGCGAAGGCAGCUCUCUGGGACGGUACUGACGCUGAGACGCGAAAGCGUGGGGAGCGAACAGG
rnacentral:rRNA from 1 species